UACAGAGGGUGCAAGCGUUAAUCGGAUUUACUGGGCGUAAAGCGUGCGUAGGCGGUUCGCUAAGUCGGUUGUGAAAUCCCUGGGCUUAACCUGGGAACUGCAGUCGAUACUGGCGGACUAGAGUACGGUAGAGGGUGGCGGAACUCCGGGUGUAGCGGUGAAAUGCGUAGAUAUCCGGAAGAACACCGAUGGCGAAGGCAACCACCUGGGCCUGUACUGACGCUGAGGUACGAAAGCGUGGGGAGCAAACAGGG
rnacentral:rRNA from 1 species